rnacentral:rRNA from 1 species
UAGCCGUAAACGAUACUCGCUAGGUGUCGGCCACGGUGCGACCGUUGUCGGUGCCGUAGGGAAGCCGUGAAGCGAGCCACCUGGGAAGUACGGCCGCAAGGCUGAAACUUAAAGGAAUUGGCGGGGGAGCACCACAACGGGUGGAGCUUGCGGUUUAAUUGGAUUCAACGCCGGAAAUCUUACCGGGACCGACAGCAACAUGAAGGCCAGGCUGAAGACUUUGCCGGAUUAGCUGAGAGGAGGUGCAUGGCGUAGUGUGU